CUCCUGUCUAAAGGUUUAGCUUUUCAGUGUACAAUGGGAGUCCUGCUGUAUGACCUGGCUGAUAAUCCCAGAUAUGCCAGCAAGACGUCACAUCUUUCCCAGCAGUUUGCCUUGGAGACAAGGGAGCAGCAGCCCUGAGAGCCUGGAGGAGGGGAUGAGCAUCAAGUUUGGUGGACCUGGAGUGAACUGUAAACAAGCAGCAGAGGAGAGUAGAGUUCCACAAGCUGCAGGAACAUACCUGUUUUGUUUUCUGCUUCAUGCCUGGUGCCUUGUUCAGUACCUGAGAGAGACCCAGUGGGUGCUCAGCAAGUAUUCACUGAAUA